AGAGUUUGAUCAUGGCUCAGGAUAAACGCUGGCGGCGCACAUAAGACAUGCAAGUCGAACGGAAGUCGUUGUAAUGAAAUGGAAAUGGACAGAGAACUUGUUCGAAGAAAGUUGAAGUAGACUUACAACAAUGGCUUUAGUGGCGGACUGGUGAGUAACGCGUAAGGAACCUGCCUUUUAGAGGGGAAUAACAAUGAGAAAUCAUUGCUAAUACCGCAUAUGCCGAGAGAAUCACAUGGUACAAUCGGGAAAGGAGCAAUCCGCUAAAAGAUGGCCUUGCGUCUGAUUAGAUAGUUGGUGGGGUAACGGCCUACCAAGUCGACGAUCAGUAGCCGGACUGAGAGGUUGAACGGCCACAUUGGGACUGAGAUACGGCCCAGACUCCUACGGGAGGCAGCAGUCGGGAAUAUUGCGCAAUGGAGGAAACUCUGACGCAGUGACGCCGCGUAUAGGAAGAAGGUUUUCGGAUUGUAAACUAUUGUCGUUAGGGAAGAGAAAGGACAGUACCUAAGGAGGAAGCUCCGGCUAACUACGUGCCAGCAGCCGCGGUAAUACGUAGGGAGCGAGCGUU
rnacentral:rRNA from 1 species